rnacentral:rRNA from 1 species
UGCAGUCAGAGCGGACAGAAGAGGAGCUUGCUCCCGGAUGUUAGCGGCGGACGGGUGAGUAACACGUGGGUAACCUGCCUGUAAGACUGGGAUAACUCCGGGAAACCGGAGCUAAUACCGGAUAGUUCCUUGAACCGCAUGGUUCAAGGAUGAAAGACGGUUUCGGCUGUCACUUACAGAUGGACCCGCGGCGCAUUAGCUAGUUGGUGAGGUAACGGCUCACCAAGGCGACGAUGCGUAGCCGACCUGAGAGGGUGAUCGGCCACACUGGGACUGAGACACGGCCCAGACUCCUACGGGAGGCAGCAGUAGGGAAUCUUCCGCAAUGGACGAAAGUCUGACGGAGCAACGCCGCGUGAGUGAUGAAGGUUUUCGGAUCGUAAAGCUCUGUUGUUAGGGAAGAACAAGUGCAAGAGUAACUGCUUGCACCUUGACGGUACCUAACCAGAAAGCCACGGCUAACUACGUGCCAGCAGCCGCGGUAAUACGUAGGUGGCAAGCGUUGUCCGGAAUUAUUGGGCGUAAAGGGCUCGCAGGCGGUUUCUUAAGUCUGAUGUGAAAGCCCCCGGCUCAACCGGGGAGGGUCAUUGGAAACUGGGAAACUUGAGUGCAGAAGAGGAGAGUGGAAUUCCACGUGUAGCGGUGAAAUGCGUAGAGAUGUGGAGGAACACCAGUGGCGAAGGCGACUCUCUGGUCUGUAACUGACGCUGAGGAGCGAAAGCGUGGGGAGCGAACAGGAUUAGAUACCCUGGUAGU